AGAAAUUCUAAGGUGCCGGGUUGUAGCUUGUAAUUUUGGAAGGGUAAUAGAAUCAGAGCAACAACGCUUUUUAACAGGGCUGCUCAUUUAACCCACAGCCUGUUCGCCCUUAAAUCAGGAACCAUGAUGGCAUGAACUAAAGUGUAAAGGAUUUAUACCAGAAGUUCCCAAUAAAAACCAGUCUCUCAACGCUAGAACAAAAGUACAUUUGAUAAUGAUAGCAUACAAAUGCAACAAUAUCAAAUCCCAGCUGUUCUAGAAUAUUUAUUAGACUUACGACCUACCUUCUCAACACCUCUUAGUGGAAACUAAAACCUGCCAGACACCUAGAAGGAAUGGAGAUUUACAGGGGAUAAUGUGCGCCAAAUUUGAGAAGGGACAACAGGAUGCCACCAAUUUACAAAACUUACAAAAGAAUAACAAAUUGAUGAGAAUAUAAGCUAUACAUGCAAGGCUCAAAGGCUGAUUUUUUGUUUUUUUUUCCCUUCAAAUGAGCUUCUCAUGCUGUAUAUUCUUGGAUUGGCUUGGCCCCCAUAUACGGAUUGUAUGAUCAUCACUUGCUGAUGCCAGCAUUUGAUGCCUUCUAGGAUUCCAGCUCACACAGUUCACUGUCAUUAAAUGGCCAGAUAAAACCUCUAUUGGCUUAGGGUUUCGCCAAUUCCAGAUAUAGACCUGUGAACUCUCACUGCCACUGGCAAUAAAUGAGUUAUUCAAACCACCAAAGCAUGAACGUAUGACAUACUUGCGUUGUUUGUGGCCCACAUAUGUUAAUGCCUUCUUCCAUUUUCCAGCAACAUCCCACAUAUGGAUCUCUUCGCUGUUAAGAUUGACGAUAAAGAACUUGCCGUCAGUGGAAACUGACAGGGAGGUGAUUGGGUGCUCCUCAGAGAUGACUCGUUCAGCACUGGUUACCAAAUUGAAUAUCCGAAUGUCCUUAUCAGAAAAUACACUGAUAAGAUGUUCUCCAUCUGGCGUCACAGCAAGAUCCAAAACCUUAGGCAUCCUUGUGCCCCUCCAAGCUUUUAUCUCGUUCCCAUCACAGUCCCACAUGCAGAUGCCCUUUUCGGGGUCGGAACUGCCACAGACAAAUCGCUUUGAGUCGGGAAACCAAGCACAUGAGCUGACAAUGAAGCCAUGAUCCCCAAAUGUAUGCUUGCAUGUACCUGUUUCCACAUCCCACAGCUUGAGAACUUCCACAUUUCCACAUGUUAGUAACUUUCCAUCGUCAGGGCUCCAAGCCACAAAGGACACUGGGUUUUGGUGGCUUCGCAAGGUGUGCUUAAAAGUUAACCUCCCAUCUUCCGGUACCUUCCAUAUGAUGGCCGUACAAUCACUCGAUGAAGAGGCUAAGUACUCUCCAUUAUUAGAGAACUGUACAAACCACACUUCAUUCUCAUGGUCAGUCAAAAUCUGAAUGGUCUCUAUGGGUAUCUGUUCUCUUGUGCAGCAAUGGUCCUCAUAGAGUGAAACUGCCUCCUGUGAAUUGUGAUACAUACAUGAAUCAAUUUGAGCUGUAACAGCAGUUUCAACAAGAUGCUCCAACCUUCUCUCAGGCAACACACUUGGAGGAGGAAGCAAUUUUUCCAAAUCUGCCAACAACCUUUUCCGCAGCUCAAAGAUGGAAUUUUCAUCCAAGUUACUCAAGUCCUUCUCCUUCAAGUUAAGGAGACUAUAAGCAAGAUUGCGAAUAUUCUCCCUGCCUAGUAGUAAUGCAGGAACCUGCUUCCGCAAAACAGUCAGUGCCAGAGAGUCAUUCCCACAACUCAUACACUCUAACAUAAAUUGCUUAAAAACAAGAAACAAAGCCGAAGCUCGUGUCUCAUCCACCAACUCCUUUAUUCCAUUAAGGGUAUCAAGGCAGAUAUUCCAAUUUCCUUCAGGUAUUUGUGACUCCAGCAACUUAAAAUCCACAGAUUUGUACGAAAUCCCAGAUUCUGAUUCCAAAAAAGAAGCAGACUUUCUAUAACCUAACGAAUAAAGGCUCUGAAUUAUAACCCUUACAAAUUCAUGCCGUUUUAUCAGGCCUUUUGGGCCAAUCAAUGUAGCUGAAUUCUCCAUUACCACAGUAUUUCCAAACGUUCACCAGAGCUUUGAUGAGCUUUCUACCAUUCUAUGAUCAUAAAUUCCCAUUUCCCUGACUCUCUAUGAGUUUUCAGCUUCAGUAGUGAAUAAAAAUGAACAACCAAUCUUCUGUCAAUAAUUGGAAUCACAACUUUCCAGGAGAGGCCUCAACACAAGAAAUAUUCUAUUCAGCAAAAAACCCAACAAACGAAAUUGUCACUAAUCAUUGCCAGAACAAAAUUAUACAAGAAAGAAACAACUCCCCAGCACCAAAAUUUAGAACCAGAGAUUCUUUACAAGGAGAACCACAAGCCCUUCACACAGGAAACCAGAAACAUAAAAUUGAAGGCACCAAGCGAGAUUUGUUGCAGAUGUGAUGAGGUUAGGCUCUUUAAAUGAAAGCAAUAAUCCGUACGGAGUAGAGAGCGCCUCUGCACCGAUUGAUUCGAAACGCUAAUUACAGGAAAUGGCUAGAAAGUUGAAAAACCAGUAUACUAAUACCACCAAGAGAGCAGAUCGAUAAAAACAAUACUAACGCCGUCGUUUUGCUUCUUUUUGGGAAUUUAAACCAUGC
rnacentral:misc_RNA from 1 species